CAGGAUGAGGGCGGCCAUUGCUGAGGCUCCGCUUCGGGUAGGAGGACGCUGAGGAGGCGCCGAGCCGCGCAGCGCUGCGGGGGAGGCGCCCGCGCCGACGCGGGGCCCAUGGCCAGGACCACCAGCCAGCUGUUCUACAGUCUGGGGACGAUGGUUUAAAAAUUUAUGCCUUGUAUGCGAUGUGCAGUGGGUGAUGGAAGAACGUCUACAUGGCUUUAAAAUUUGACUUAAAAGGCAAAUAUUUUAAAUGAAGGAAAACCCAAGAAGUUUAAUUGAUCCCGUACCAUCUCCCGGGUUCAAGCGAUUCUCCUGCCACAGCCUCCUGAGUAGCUGGGAUUACAGGCGUAUGCCACCAUGCCCGGCUAAUUUUUGUAUUUUUAGUAGAGAAGGUGAAAGAUAUGGGCCCUCUUCUGAGAAAAAGGCAGAGUGACACUGAAUUUUGUAACUAC
rnacentral:sRNA from 1 species